GCCAAACAGAAAAUUAUAAGUGUGCAGAGUUACACAAUACUCGGGAACGUUGGAGACCAAUAAAGGAAUGGCACCAGCGUUUUUAAACGUUUGAACUACAUAUGCGUCUUCUGUGGCCUUCGUGCCUUUCUUGGAUACGCAACCACAGUAGCGAGGGUCUACAGUUUCAGAAAUUCUUAUGUAAGAAUUUGGUCGUCCGACAGUGUUUAAAAUACAAACAGUAUCAAUGCGAAGAUGGAUCGAAAGGAUCGAUGGAGUAUUAAAGAAAAUAGGAAAAGAGAAUAUUUUUAAAUUUUGUUCGCUGGGCUUCGUAAGUCAUUUCAGAAUUCGUAACUUCGAAUUUUUACGCCCCAAUCUUGCUUUCGUUUCAAGGAACAUAAGGAUUUUUAAUAUCUUAAGACAUCGCGCGUAUAUCAACGACGACUUCUACGUGUUCACGUUCAAUUUCAUAAAAUUUCGUUGAACAGAAAAAGGGAAUGGUGGGAAAAGAAGAGAAGGAUAUUUAUGGCAAUGAGAAUAAUACUUCGACCUCGAUUUGUGUAUCGUAAAAGUUACUUAAUUUAUCUUAAUUAAAAUUCUGUUGAUGAAUUUCGACUCGUAAAACGAACAUUGGAAUAAAAUAUCCGUGAAGCAAUGUUUCGAUCAAGUUUCGUCAAAUGGUCAAGAAAAAUUGUUACCUUUAACCGCGCACGAUUCCUUGAUAGAUAUCGGCACACCAUAAAGAGGCUUAUUCCUUUCCAGCUGCUCGGCAGUCAUGGCUAAGUCACCGCUCUUCAGUUUGGCGUCACAUAUCUUUGAUUCCUCUAGAGCAGCUUCGAAUCGAUCUUCUAUUACUGCGUUUAUGAAUGGAUUCACUUCUUUAAUACGCUCGAUAUAUGCUUCCACUAUUGUCUGACUACUGAGCUGUUUUCCAAUAAAAAGAAAUUACAAAA